GCUCCGUUGACCGCGCGUAAGAAGGGCUCUGGGUACGAGAAUGCAAAAAAUGGCUGCACCACGCCCCACCAGCUUCGUCCCCAGGCGCUUUGAUUUGCUGCGCCGUUUCGUGAGUAAUGGAAAUUUGGCCCACUGCUUGCGUUGGAACCCGCGCAUCUGAGUUGGAGCUGGGGACGAGGCUGCUGCCCCACCGCUUCACGUUAAUUGUUUCCGACUGAUUUGCAUUUUACAGCACACGACACAGAAUGCAAGACAGGACCAUUGCCGUAUAUGACAGGAAGAGAAGGUUAGUCGUGAUUUUAAUGCAAAUAUCUACAUAUCUGAUACCAUAGUUGCCUCGAAAUCCUUUGUCUCG